rnacentral:rRNA from 1 species
UAGUACGGCGAGUGAAGAGGGAAAAGCUCAAAGUUGGAACCUGGCUGCCCUAGGCAGUCCGGAUUGUAAACUAAAGAGCGUGAUUCCAGGCAAGCCGGUUGACCAAGUCCUUUGGAAUGAGGCGCCACUGAGGGUGAGAGCCCCGUAAGUCGACUGAGCAUUUGUCUUUUGUGCUUCGCGUUCAAAGAGUCAGGUUGUUUGGGAAUGCAGCCUAAAGCUGGUGGUAAAUCCCACCUAAAGCUAAAUACAGGCGAGAGACCGAUAGCGAACAAGUACCGUGAGGGAAAGAUGAAAAGAACUUUGAAAAGAGAGUUAAACAGUAUGUGAAAUUGCCAAGAGGGAAGCAUUUGGAGUUAGAUUGACUAGGAGUUAAUCAGCUUGGUCUUUGGACUGGGUGUACUUGACUUCUUACAGUCUGCCAAUAGCAGUUAGUCCUAGUGGAAAAAACCAGAGGGAAGGUAGUCCUUCGGGAUGUUUAUAGACCUUUGGAAAAUACACUGGGAUUGACUGAGGAAUGCAGUAGAUGCCACUAAGGCUUCGUCUAGUGGGUGCUAGGCAAAGGUACUUGGUAUUUUCAGCUUGCUGAUGUGCUAGGUUACUCGAGUCUAGUCGCCUACUAGAACUGUAAUCUACUUUGGUUAUUGGCUUAAUGACUCUAAAUGGCCCGUCUUGAAAACAC